GGAUUAUAGCUCAAUGGUAGAGCACUUGCCUUGCAUGCGUGAGGCACUGGGUUCAAUCCUCAGUACCA
rnacentral:tRNA from 1 species